AAAAAAAGCCCCACUCACCUUAUCCCCUCCCGCACUCCCUGAGACCCACCUCCUCUCAACACAGCCGCAGCACACCACUUGAAGCCGCCGUCGCCCUCUGCCUCCACCAGGAGAUCUGGGGCCGGUGAAGCCCACGAGCACCAGCACCCCUCCCAUGGCUGCCAUCUGCCCUAGAGCUCCAGCCCUUCCCUAAUUUGCCGCACCCGCUCCAGAGUUGGCUCCGACCCCGUCGUGCCCGCCCAACUUCACCCCCGGCACUGGCUCCACCCCAGCGACGGAGCCCCGUCGCACCUGCUCCGGCUGCGAUCUAGCACGUUGACGUCCGGAUCUGUAGCGGUGAGCACUCAUAACACCAGGUAUGCCCCCUUCUCUUCCCUUCCUUUUGUGUAAAAUUGAGCAUUGGAACCCUAAUUUAAGCUAUAUGGCUUCUGUAGAUCUAAACCCAAGUGUAUGCUUGUUUGAUAUGUGGAUUAAUAGAAACUGUGGAUUUUAGACAAAGUAAGAUAAUGUAUGAAUGCUCAGGAACACCAAUGCAUUUGUGUUUCAAUGUAUCGUAUUGUAAUGGAGGGAGUUUGUAAAUUAAGGCAUCCAUGUGAAAAACUCAGACUUGCAGGUGGAAUGCAUGAAUUUUAUAUGUAGUGGUUAAGUGAACAAAAAUUGCACAAACUGGAAAUUACAAUGUAGAACUUUCAUAGUCACUAAAUAUUCAGAAACCCCUGUUAUUUGUGGAGGCAUUUUUUUUGUUAUUAUCACUAAAUAUUUUUGUUAUGGUUAGAUAUUUUUUCAGUUACAUUUCAAAAACCCUUGUUAUUUGUGGAGGCAUUUUUUCUUAGUGUGCAGCCAAAUCUCAGUAGAAGGCAUUACCAAUAAGAGAAAAUAGGGAGAUAAUGGAGCUUCAAAAUUUAAAGAUCAUGACAAGCUACUAAUGCUGGUUGCAAUUUUAGCUAGCAAGCUACAGGUAUAUAUCUCCAUUUUCUUGGGAGUGAGUUUGGUGGACAACAUUUGAUAGGUUUCCAGCUUGCAAGUGAAAGUUCAAGAACAAAUAUUUGAUGAGGCUAUCUAUGAAUUGCGGCAAGAGGAUCAAGGUGCUCAUGGUGGCUAUUUUCAUUAGUCAUGAAAGAUUUUGUUGUGCGAGCAAAUCAUACGAGUUAUGUGUUGUACAAGCCAACAUCUUAGUUUUGUAGAUACUUGAGUGUGGCUUGGUUAUUGCCUUAGUAUUUCGUGUGAAAUAUUGUACAAGUACAAAUGUUGAUAGUUUCAAUGAAAAUGAUGGCCAAUAUUUGUCAAUUA